AGAAUCCCAGGGACGGGGGAGCCUUGUGGGCUGCCGUCUAUGGGGUCGCACAGAGUCAGAUACGACUGAAGCGACGCAGCAGCAGCAGCAGCAACCACUGCCAACAUCUACUGUCACAAAAACUUGGAGUGCUCUUGGGAGAAGAUGAGUGAGGGGAACCAGACAGGACAAGAGGAAUAAAGUUGAACAAGAAUUCGGGAGUGUUAUCUGGAGACUGUCCUCAGCCUAGUUCUCAGGGGAGCAUCGGAGCAUGACGGUACCACAGAACUGGCUCUCGUUUCAGCUCUUCAACCCUGUGUGUCUUCAGAUACCAUCCAGUGCUCCUGCCAAGGCCGCCAGUGACCUUCACAUUGAGAAAUCUGAUGGAUGUCUUUUCCUCUCAGCUGUGACCCUCUCAGCAGAUGUCACCUCUAGCCUUGAAAAUCUCUCCUGUGGCCUCAGUGACAGCUGCUCUCCGGGGUUCCCUUCUGCUUCCUAAACCUGUUCCUUUCGGACAUCCUCAUGGUUCUCCCUCUCAGAGCGUUUGUGUUCCCGAGUCCUGAGCUGGUCUCCUCUGUCUCUCUGCGUACCUCUCCUGGGACAGUUCCUGCACUUGUGUGGCUUUGGUUACCAUCUGCACUCAGAUUACUUCUAAACAGCUUUCCUGGGAAUUCCUACGUGGUCCAGUGGUUAAGACUCUGCGGCUCACUGCCAAGGCAAAGUUCAAUCGCUGGUCCCCACAGGCCAUGCGCUGUGGCUAAAUAAAUAAAUUAAAUGAACAGCUUUCCUUAGCUCAGCCACAGCUUCUGACUUGGAGAUCUGUGCAUCCCUUUGUGUACUCUUUGAGGCGCCUAAAUUCGCUAAAUCUGAACUAGAGUUCUCAGCUGUCUGACAAAACAUUCCUUCUCCAGCAUCUUCUGUCUCAGGGAGAGGUGCCAUCAUCCAUUCAAUCCCCAAGCUCAAAACCUUCUCUCUCACAUCCCCCACCUAACAUCCUCUGCAAUCUACCAGGUCCUACUGACUCUGUCUCUUGACUAUCUUGACUUAUUCAUUUCUCUUUGUUUCCUGGCUCCACCCUCAUCCAAGUUGCCAUUAUCUCUGGCUUGCAAUAGCCUCUGCACUGGUCUCCCCAGUCUCUACUUGUU
ensembl:lncRNA